UUUUAGCCCUGAUGGAAGCGACAUCCUUUUUUAUAUUAAAUGUAUUUAAAAUAAAAAAGAUAUAGCGUACAGCAGGAAAAGCU
rnacentral:sRNA from 1 species